rnacentral:lncRNA from 1 species
CCCCACUUAUUGUAUGAGCAACAAGGUGGGAACACAGCACACUGUGGCAUCAGGAACUCAGGUUUCCACUAGUGACCACUGUUGAAGGCAGAAGUCUAGGCUAAGUGUGCUCUGAAUCCAGGAUACAGUCCUAUGCUCCUAUAUUUCAGAAUUCUUCAAUUUCUCCAGCACAGAAAUUUUAUUGAGCUCUUCUUGUUCUGCAUGAUAAUCAAGGCUGUGAUAGAAGGAGCUGAUCUAAUUCCAGCUGAUGUCAUAGCCAAACCCAG